UCAAUUUUCCUGAUUUUUUCCUGUUUUUUUCCUGAUUUUUUCUCAUUUUUCCUGAUUUUUUCCUGUUUUUUUCCUGAUUUUUUCCAUUUAUCCUCAUUUUUCCCGAUUUUUUCCAGAUUUUUCCAUUUUUUUCCUAAUUUUUCCAUUUUUCCUGAUUUUUCCCUGAACUUUUCCUGAUUUUUCCCCGCUUUUUCCCCCUUUUUCCCCUGUUUUUUCAUUUUUCCCUGAUUUUUUCCUUUUUCCGCUUUUUCCCCUUUUUUUCCUGAUUUUUGACUCAUUUCUCCUGACUUUUUCCUGAUUUCUUUUCCUUUUUUCCUGAUUUUUCCUCAUUUUUCCUGAUUUUUCCUUUUUUUUCCAUAUUUCCCCAUUUUUUUCCCUUAUUUUUCCCUUUUCCAUUUUUUCCCCUAUUAAAAAUUUCUCUUUUCCUCAUUUCUCCUUUUUUUCCCAUUUUCCUUUUUUUAUUUCUUAUUUUCCUGUCUCCCUUUUUCAAAUUAUUUUCCCCAUUUUUUCUUUUUUUUUUCCUGAUUUUUCCUUAUUUUUUCGAAUUUCCCCUUUUUAUUUUUUUUACACUCUUUUUUCUUCCCCUUUUUCCUUUUUUCCCCCAUAUUUUCCUUUUUUUUUCCUUUAUUUUUUCUCUUUCCUUUAUUUUUCCUUAUUUUUCCUUUUCUUUCUUUCUUUUUCCCCCU
rnacentral:lncRNA from 1 species